rnacentral:misc_RNA from 1 species
AAUACUCAUAUUUUUUCACCUGUGAACCGCGCGUCUUUCUGUUUCCCGUAAAAGAUGAAUUUUUUCGCGAUCAGCUCUAGCGAGAGCGACAGCGAGUCGGAUAAAAGCCUGCUCCGCGAGGAGGUGCCGGAGGCGCAGAUCAACCCUUUCUGGUUUGAGUGGACCGAUGAGGAAGAGCUGGAGGAGCGCCAGGAGGUGAUACCCAAGAAGGAGAAGGCGGCCAACUCUAUUCAAGCGCUGUGCGACACGUUUGACUAUAAUGCCGGCAAUGAAUCGUGGCGCGAGGCGCUCGAGGCGUUUAAGCGCAUGUGCGAUGAGGUACACAUGUUUGUGCGCAAGUACAAGGUGGCGCCGCAGGGAUUGCAGAACUGCCUUCAGGACAUGCCGAACUUGGCGGAGCAUCUGGAGGGUAAGGGUCGCGAGGACUUUGCGAAUCGUUUGGAGUUCAAGAGCCUGAAGGAGCUCGUCGCAUUGGUGGAGGUGACGGAGAAGCUUUACAAGAAGGAGCUCGAGGAGCUGGCGAAGGGCCCAGAGAUCGAUGACGGUGCGCAGGACGAAGACGAGGAUGCCGGUGCGGAGCUGACGGAGACCGAAUAUGCACAGAUCCUCGAGGACAUCUCCGGCUCCCGCGAGGUGAACCUGGUUGGCAAGGUCGAGAAGGUGAUUCGCGCGUGUGCUCGCAAGGGAUACACUAACCUGGAGAUCUCUGCGAUGGGUAUCGCCGUCUCGGCUGUCCUGCGCCGCGACAGCCGAAAGCUUCUGGUGAGCUCCGACACGUGGGAGCGCGCCUUCAAGUGGGGGGCCAAGUUCUUCAGCCGCAUGAUCGCCGCUGCUAACGUCCGCUUCGUCGAGGACUCCUCGUCGGUGAAUGCACGCAACAUUGUCGUGCCUGGCGGCAUCCACGGCUUCUUGACGUACCUUCACACAGAGUUAGUGAACAAGUCAAAGUUUGAGGAGGUGGCCAGCCAGGAGUACCUUAAGAUUAUCACCUUCGAAAACGAACUUGCCGUGCUCGCUGAUCGUGCCCUAGGCUACUAUCAGGCCCGCAAGAGGAUUGAGCCGUCGAAGGCGUGUAUUUCCAUCCUCUUCGACAUCCUCGGCCAGCGCCGUCAGGAGGCCCACCAGCUCUUCUACGACUCCCUCUCGUCGACAGACAAUCUCACUAUCAUCUCGGAGUCUGUCUUCGAUACCGUCCGCGCCCUCCACAAGCUUAGCCUUCAACUGAGGCCCAGUGUUGCGCUCUCAGCGUCGGGUGUGUGCCACGUUGCGUACCAGUACGGUCUGUGCGGCCUGUACCGCGAGGGUCGCGACUACCUGCUUCGCACAGGCGUGGUCAACAGCAUCGCCGUCUCCGAUGCCCCGCUGGCUAUUCUGCUCAAUAGGGCCAUUGCCCAGCUCGGGUUGGCCGCGUUUAUCGCGGGCGAUAUCCCUACGGCGCACCAACUGCUGCGCACCAUUUGGGGUCUCCGGUCGAACCAGGUGUUGAUCGGCCAGUCGCCGCCGCCCAAGUCGGUGCUGGAUGACGAGCACGCGGAGAUGGAGUACCGAAACUUGCUUCUUCCUCCCCACAUGCACAUGCCCGUCGCGCAGCUGGAGCUUGCGUCCGUUCUCUCCGGCCUCCUCAUGGGCGUGAAGAUGGAGGCGCAGAAUCCGUACGAGCGCAACCACAUGGAGCGCUACGUGUACAACACGGUCACGCGUACCCCAGAUCUCAUGGGAAAGCCGUUCUCAUUCAAGGAGCAGGUGGCCGUUGCCUACGAGCACUUGAAGGCCGGCAACUACAUUGCUGCAAAGGAGCAGGUGGAGGCGAUGACCACGUUCGACACCCUUCCAUCGGGCAAGGAGACGCGCAAACGGUAUCUGCAGAGCCUGAAGGAGGUCGCGCUGCUCGUGUUCUGCUACACGAACCGCACGAACUUCUCCACCAUGUCUGUCGUCAACCUGGCCAUCAAGUUUGACAUGGAGGAAAGUGACGUGCGUCGUGCAGUCAACGAAAUACUGUCAGAGAACACAACGCUGAGCGCGUACUGGGACCGCGAUGACGCGUACUUGUACCUGGACCGCAACAACGCGACACGCCUCCAGCACUUGGUGAAGGGGACGUCGGAGAGCAUCUCCAACCUGGCGAAGCACUGCGAGAGCCGACUUCGUGCGAACGGUGGCCGUGGCCGCGGUCGCGGUGGCGUGGCCGGUGGUAGGGGCGGUGCCGGCGGGCGUGGGGCUGGCGGACGUGGCCGUGGUGGCCGCUAAACUUCUGAAGGUGUGGACGUGGGGCAGGCGAAGGCGAAAAAAGAAGCGUCACUACAGUACCGUUUACAUGCCGCAAGUCGGGUGACAGCGGAAAUGUGUGAUUAACAGCUAAGAAAAGGGAAAAAGGAAAGCACACGGCAAGCUUAUCGCCUCAUUUUUUUUUUUACAGGGCUGUUUUGAGCCUUUUUUGUUCGGGUGGCACGCGGUUCGUUGUUCUUGUGAUUGUCUCAGGUCGGCCCUUUUUCUACCUGUUUUAAAAACGCUGUGUCUUGAGUGCAAUGUAAUGAUUGAGGAUUGUUGUUUAAGAUAACGUUUGUCU